rnacentral:rRNA from 1 species
UACGUAGGGUGCGAGCGUUAAUCGGAAUUACUGGGCGUAAAGCGUGCGCAGGCGGUGAUGUAAGACAGAUGUGAAAUCCCCGGGCUCAACCUGGGAACUGCAUUUGUGACUGCAUCGCUGGAGUGCGGCAGAGGGGGAUGGAAUUCCGCGUGUAGCAGUGAAAUCCGUAGAUAUGCGGAGGAACACCGAUGGCGAAGGCAAUCCCCUGGGCCUGCACUGACGCUCAUGCACGAAAGCGUGGGGAGCAAACAGG